GAUGAACGCUGGCGGCGUGCCUAACACAUGCAAGUCGAACGGAGUUUUUAGAGGAGGCCUUUCGGGGUGGAACCUUUGAACUUAGUGGCGGACGGGUGAGUAACGCGUGAGCAAUCUGCCUUCAAGAGGGGGACAACAGCUGGAAACGGCUGCUAAUACCGCAUAACAUAUAUUUGUGGCAUCACAGAUAUAUCAAAGGAGAAAUCCGCUUGAAGAUGAGCUCGCGUCCCAUUAGAUAGUUGGCGGGGUAGAGGCCCACCAAGGCGACGAUGGGUAGCCGGACUGAGAGGUUGAACGGCCACAUUGGGACUGAGACACGGCCCAGACUCCUACGGGAGGCAGCAGUGGGGAAUAUUGGGCAAUGGGCGAAAGCCUGACCCAGCGACGCCGCGUGGAGGAAGAAGGUUUUCGGAUUGUAAACUCCUGUCUUCGGGGAAGAUAAUGACGGUACCCGAGGAGGAAGCCACGGCUAACUACGUGCCAGCAGCCGCAGUAAAAC
rnacentral:rRNA from 1 species